rnacentral:rRNA from 1 species
UACGGAGGGUGCGAGCGUUGUCCGGAAUCACUGGGCGUAAGGGGCGCGUAGGCGGCCUGAUAAGUAGGGGGUGAAAUCUUGCGGCUUAACCGCAAGGCUGCCUUCUAAACUGUCAGGCUAGAGCACAGUAGAGGCAGGUGGAAUUCCCGGUGUAGCGGUGGAAUGCGUAGAGAUCGGGAAGAACAUCAGUGGCGAAGGCGGCCUGCUGGGCUGUUGCUGACGCUGAGGCGCGACAGCGUGGGGAGCAAACAGG